rnacentral:rRNA from 1 species
UAAGGCCGGGGCGAAGCCUGACCGCAAUGCCGCGUGCAGGAAGAAGGCCUUCGGGUUGUAAACUGCUUUUGUACGGAACGAAACGGCCUUUUCUAAUAAAGAGGGCUAAUGACGGUACCGUAAGAAUAAGCACCGGCUAACUACGUGCCAGCAGCCGCGGUAAUACGUAGGGUGCGAGCGUUAAUCGGAAUUACUGGGCGUAAAGCGUGCGCAGGCGGUUCUAUAAGACAGAUGUGAAAUCCCCGGGCUCAACCUGGGAAUGGCAUUUGUGACUGUAGAGCUAGAGUACGGUAGAGGGGGAUGGAAUUCCGCGUGUAGCAGUGAAAUGCGUAGAUAUGCGGAGGAACACCGAUGGCGAAGGCAAUCCCCUGGACCUGUACUGACGCUCAUGCACGAAAG